UAUUUCGAGCUUUUCCCCCUUUCUUUUUCUUUUUCUUUUUCUCUCUCUCUUUUUCUCUCUCCCGGCCAAACGCGCAAGUGUGGAGUAUAUAAAAGC
rnacentral:ribozyme from 14 species